GUCGAGCGAACAGACGAGGAGCUUGCUCCUCUGACGUUAGCGGCGGACGGGUGAGUAACACGUGGAUAACCUACCUAUAAGACUGGGAUAACUUCGGGAAACCGGAGCUAAUACCGGAUAAUAUAUUGAACCGCAUGGUUCAAUAGUGAAAGACGGUUUUGCUGUCACUUAUAGAUGGAUCCGCGCCGCAUUAGCUAGUUGGUAAGGUAACGGCUUACCAAGGCAACGAUGCGUAGCCGACCUGAGAGGGUGAUCGGCCACACUGGAACUGAGACACGGUCCAGACUCCUACGGGAGGCAGCAGUAGGGAAUCUUCCGCAAUGGGCGAAAGCCUGACGGAGCAACGCCGCGUGAGUGAUGAAGGUCUUCGGAUCGUAAAACUCUGUUAUUAGGGAAGAACAAAUGUGUAAGUAACUAUGCACGUCUUGACGGUACCUAAUCAGAAAGCCACGGCUAACUACGUGCCAGCAGCCGCGGUAAUACGUAGGUGGCAAGCGUUAUCCGGAAUUAUUGGGCGUAAAGCGCGCGUAGGCGGUUUUUUAAGUCUGAUGUGAAAGCCCACGGCUCAACCGUGGAGGGUCAUUGGAAACUGGAAAACUUGAGUGCAGAAGAGGAAAGUGGAAUUCCAUGUGUAGCGGUGAAAUGCGCAGAGAUAUGGAGGAACACCAGUGGCGAAGGCGACUUUCCGGUCUGUAACUGACGCUGAUGUGCGAAAGC
rnacentral:rRNA from 1 species